rnacentral:rRNA from 1 species
UGGGGAAUAUUGCACAAUGGGCGCAAGCCUGAUGCAGCAACGCCGCGUGAGCGAGGAAGGCCUUCGGGUCGUAAAGCUCUGUCCUAGGGGAAGAAGAAGUGACGGUACCCAAGGAGGAAGCCCCGGCUAACUACGUGCCAGCAGCCGCGGUAAUACGUAGGGGCGAGCGUUAUCCGGAAUUAUUGGGCGUAAAGAGUACGUAGGUGGUUUUGUAAGCGCGGGGUGAAAGGCAGUGGCUUAACCAUUGUUAGCCUUGCGAACUGCAAGACUUGAGUGCAGGAGAGGGAAGCGGAAUUCCUAGUGUAGCGGUGAAAUGCGUAGAUAUUAGGAGGAACACCAGUGGCGAAGGCGGCUUUCUGGACUGUAACUGACACUGAGGUACGAAAGCGUGGGGAGCAAACAGGAUUAGAUACC